GAUGAGGCUCAACCACUGAGCCACACCAGCCAGGCCAGGGAGCUCCUUAGAGCAAUGAAAAGAGCAGGAGAAACCAUUGUGCGUGCAACAUUUUAGAAGAUGAUACAGACAAAUGCACAGGACAAAAAGGGAAAUGAUCAAGCUGUCUCAAACAGGAAUGGAAAACCUGUGGCAGGAAGGACACGGGGCCGCAAUCCUACCCACAGAAAAUGCAGUCCAGUGGAUGAAGGCCAGGCCAGGCUGUCUGAGCCUCACGGAGCACACGGCCCCUCCCCUCGCGGAUACCAGCUGCUCUGAAGAAUCUGGGACAAUGGCAGCAGGACGGGCUCCCCACCCCACUUCACAAGGACAGCAGAACUUUGAUGUCAAACACAGGCCAGAGCAGCACCUACAAGGGGAAUGAGGACACAGAUGCGCCAGGCCGAGAUCAGGAUGAGCGAGCCCAAUCCAGCGAUCUAUAUAUAAACACUUCACCCCGAGCGGCGUCUCACUCGGGGACAGGAAACCGCUCAGCGCUGACACAUCCGCGACAGGGACCCGCCACACUAACAGGCCGCCAGGGAGCCCUGGCUGGUGGCUCGGUGGCUGGAGCAUCAUCCUGUUCACCAGAAGGAAGGAGCCAUCUCCCACCCCCGGAGGUGCAGCCAUGGGACGGCGGGGGCUCUCCGGGCCCCCCGUGAGGGGCACCGACCGCGGACUCUGAGAGGCCAACGUGCUUGCCUUCCGGUGCCCUGUGUCCGUUUCCAGACUGAGCCCGUGUGCUUGCUGUAACAUUUCAAAUAUUUAUGGAGGGAGAGGCUAUAAUGAAUAUCCGUGGACCCAUCACCAAGCUCCCAGAAUUACCAACUCUUGGCGAAUUCAGUUUUAUUUUAUCCCCCACCCGCUACCCCACCCCUGCCAUCAGAUUGUAUUACAGCGAGUCCUCGGCGUCGUGGGUAAGUACUUCGGUAGGUAUCUUCGAAAGGGAAGGACUCUUAACAAGCAGAGAAAACCCCCACAGCACUCUCAUCACACUUUAAAGAAAUUAACCUCCAUUCCUUCAAAACAUCCCACAGCCAGUGUGUGUAACCGUCUCCAUAUGUCACAAUUUUUUUCACAGUUUUACUUCCAUCAGGAUCCAGAUAAGUUCCAGACAUUGUCACUGGUUGGGAUGGUUCUUUGGUUUCUUUUACUCUAUCAGUUUUCCUUGCCGAGGGGAGAUUAUUUGUGCUGUAGAGAGUCCCAUGAGCUGAGUCACAGGCAUCUGGUGCCAUUCACCAUGUUCCUCCAUCCCCGAUAUUUCCUAUUCGCUAGUAGUUUGAUCACACAGCUUGGUCAGAUUCAGGUUUGAUGUGUUGGUAAAACUGCUUUCCAUGUAGUCCUUAUCAGUAGUCGCUAAUGCUGGUCUCUCUCUCUCUCUCUCUC